CAAUAGCGUAUAUUAAAGCUGUUGCGGUUAAAAAGCUCGUAGUUGGAUUUCUGUCAAGGACAACUGGUCCGCCCUCCGGGUGAGCACAUAGUUUGGUCUUGGCAUCUUGUUCAAAACUGUUACUGCGCUUGGUUGUGUGGUGCAGUUUUGGGCACUUUCACUUUGAGGAAAUUGGAGUGUUUCAAGCAGGCACAUGCCUUUGGACACAGUAGCAUGGAAUAAUUAGAUUGGGCUUUUGCUCCAACUUGUCGGUUCCUGGAGCUGAGGUGAGAAUAAAUGGGGAUUGUUGGGGGCAUCUGAAUUUAGCCGUCAGAGGUGAAAUUCUUGGAUCUGCUAAAGACGGACAACUGCGAAAGCGUUUGCCCAGGAUGUUUUCAUUGA
rnacentral:rRNA from 1 species